CGCCCGAACGAGACCGAUUCACAAUGACCGUAGAGUUUCAAGACGUGGCGAUUUAACAACGAUGACAGGUCAACGUUCAUUAUUUCCUUGCACUGAAAACACCGAAGAGUUUUACAACUCUCAACACAAUCCCCCGUGUAUAGUUUCCAUCGCGGUCAUAUUUCUCCUCUGCAAACUACUAGAAUGACGUUCGUAAGACGAAAGACAAGGAUGGCGAUAUCGAUUUCAAACAAUGUACAUUAAGCUCCAGCAGGUGGCAUGGCCACCGGUCCUCGUCUUUCACGGCACGCUGUUUUUCUCGCGAAAUGACACGGACAGGCACGACACUGAGAAAUUCCCGAAACACAAGAAACAGGGGAUGAAAGCACACCCUCGAAACUGUCCUUGCCGGAUUGCGCGUGCGCAACGCGAUUUAGGUCAUACUUAUCAUGAUAGAUGAGCGCUAGUUACACACGUUCCAGGGGUUUUCUUUCUUUCUCCAUUGAAUUGUCGUUGUUUUUCAUGGAAUUUUUGAAAAAAAUUAUUACGUUUACGUGAUAUACUUAUUUUAGAUUUGACGCACCUCGGGUAUUAGCUAUCUGUCGUAGAAUACACAUGCUUUGUAAACAUUGGCGAGGUCGGGGUAGCAGUGCGCAUCCUUGGCCUCGAUGUUGGCAAUCUUUGAAUAAGUGCUACCAGUGGUGUAGCCAGAGGGGUUUAUAAAGGUAUUGUAAUCUCUGUUGAACUUUAAUCGCAAGGAAAUUUCGCUACUUCAAGUAAUCGUGUUUCUUACCACUGUUAAAUAAUCGCAACGAAACAUUUUAUACGUUGGUUUAUUAACGAGAGGCGUAGUAAUUUCGAGAUCUUAUGUACACCCAAAAUUUACAUUCGAGGAUGUGUGUUACUAUGUGCGGUAUCCUUCUUACUCCUGAAACGAUUUUCAUGCACAUGCAUGAUUCGGGCAUGCGCCAUUGAAUUCAGGUCAUUCGAGGCUUGACCGAAAUUGAGAUUGAAGAUUUUUUACUGCAUUCUAAUAUCAAGGAUAUCCAUCGUUCUUCUGUUCUCUACGAUCACCGAUUUUCACGCAAAAAUUAAUUAAUAAUCUUGACAAAGUUUCAUUGCUUCAUUUGCAAGAACUAAAUAUGCACACGGGUAAAGACAUCUGGUCGACCUCUUGCACACGGUAUGCCCCAGGAUACUAUACCGAUCUGUUCGUUAUCAGCAACCAAGGGACCACCAGAAUCACCCUGUUCACAAAAAUAAGCAAUUUAAUAUACGUGUAACGUUAAUGGGGAAAAAGUUAAGGACGCGACCGAUACAUCCCAUAUAUUUAGAGUAAUUCUUUUUGAAUUAGGUGAGUGGAACUCAAUGGUGCUCACUGUUACGCUCUCGACGACAUAGUUUUCGCGACGGAAUAUAAAUAAAAAAAAAAAAAAAGUGCCGCUUUAGUUGAGGGAUCCUUUGACGUGAAAGGGCCCUCUUCUCAAGUACUCAGCUAGACGUGAAUGCACUUACGUGACAAGCGCCUU